rnacentral:lncRNA from 1 species
GAUCAUUUUAAUGAUAGAAAUAUAGUUUUAGCAUUUAAAAAGGGGGGUAACAAUUGGGAAAUUGUUCCUGGUCUAUCAGCUCUCAAGGAGAUAAUUAACUUUGGAGCGGUUUGUAAGGAUGUGUGUGUGUGUGUGUGUGUGUGUGUGUGUGUGUGUGUGUGUGUGUGUGUCAAGGAAUUAAAGUGGUAUCUGGGGCAUCCUGUCUGUGCUGGGAAAGGUGUUCCUAGCACCAACAACCACCCAUAACGUCAAAUCCUUCCGUGUUUUAAGAUGAUUUAGGAGCAAAUCAAAUGGUAUCGUUCAAAGACAGUGAUGAAAGACGAAGGUGUGUUCCCUGACACGAUUUGGUUGCAUGUGAUAAACAUAGAAGGUUCACCAUCACACCAAACCAAGGGAAGAAGAGAAAUAGCUUUACAAAAAAAAAAAAAAAAAAAAAAAAAAAAAAGUUAACAAAGGGAAUCAGGGAAAUUUAGGGAAUUUCAAGGUUUUGUGCCAUCAAGUAUCUCGGUUCCCUUCAUUCUUUCAACUAUCAGGAAUCUAAUGAGAAGUAGGUCUAAUACUAUAAAUGUCCUAGAGAGAAUUUCCUGAGGCAAAUGUUAACUCUUUGUAGUUGUGGUUGCUAUUAUCCUCCUGUACCUGAGUAUAGAAGUGUGAAGUACAAUAAUUCAUAUUCUUCAAAUACUUCUUUUAUAUAAUUAACCUGACUUAGUGCGGCUUAGUAGAUUGAAUACCCCACCCUAGAGCUCAAGGGGAAGGUGAGAGCCAGUCACAUUUGAACCUAACCCCUGCCCUUUGACCUCGGAGCCAUCCCUACACUGCAGCAAGGGAAAGAAAUGACUAGCACUGAGAUGUUGGUGGAAGCCAGCAUUCCCUGCUCCUACAAGGCUCACAGAAGAAGAGCAUGGAUCCCCUUCAGCAAGAAUGCUUAAGACUCGUGUCACAGGGACAGUCGAUUUCCAAACACAGCCAUGCUUUCCCAACUGGCUUCGGUAGCAACACUACCAUCCUUGUCUUUGAAAUGAUGAUAAAGUAAUAGUCUCAACUAUGAGAGAAAAGUAAUAUAAAAUCCAUACAAUCUAUUAUUGCUCUAAUUAUGCAGUUAGGCUCUCUUAGUCAGUUAUUAUCCAGGGGACCCAACUGAACCCAGUUAAUCCUUCUGGCAGGUUCAAAUCAUUUAUUUCAUAUGACCGUUCUAAUGACUCUCCCCAUUAGAUUCUCAUAGUGUGCAGUCAUCAGAAAUUUCCAAAGUACUGUAAUGAAAACAUCCUCAUUUGAAAACUUUAAAAAAAAAAGGCUCUGUACAUACAUAUAUAAUAUAUACUUAAGAAUGUGCUGAUUUCUCUUAAUAGUCAUAGGAAUUUAUUUUCAAUUAAUGUUCAUUUUAUAGAGAUAAUCUUAGUAUCAUCUCCAUUUCAGGGUGAGGUUUUAUCAACACAUUUUCUGUGUAGAAACACACUAUUGUUUAGUUGACUUUUAAAUAGGUGUGUUACCCAGGUGUAAAGGUGGCACCUGUGGAACGGGAGAACUGCGGAAUUUGGAAUACAGUUUAAAAAAAAAAAUAUAUAUAUAUAUAUAUAUAUAUUUACAACCACAUUGCCCUUUGUAUUUCCUGAAUGGUUUCCUGUUUGUGAUGGGAUAUCCCGAAUAGUGAUGAGUAUUUCAUGCUUAGGCUAUUUCCAGCUUUUAGGUUUUAUUUUUCUAAUUCUUCAUACACACACACAUACACACACACAGGAACACAAACAAAUGCUACAAGGUGGCUUCACUGAAUGUAUUCCAUUCGCAGGUAAGUAAUGAAAAAAGAUAGCCAAGGAAGAUUAAUAAGAGUUACUAAGAAUCACAAGAACUGCACUUUACACAGUUUAUUGUAAAAUUAGAAUGCUCUAUCUUAUAUCUUACAUUAUGUGACAAAUUGAACCAAGAAACAUAGUUCUUAAAAAGAAAGGUAUUAUCUAAAGUUGCCCUUUUGAGCUUCUGGUGUGAAGUUUGGUGUUAAAUUUCCAAGGGCUGACAAGAGCAAUUUCCAACCUUUUGGGAUAAAGUUGACCUCUCCUCUGAGUGCAAGUGUUCCUUGAAAGGAAGUUGAGUUGUCUGCCAGGUAAUUGGUCAAAGUUUUUUUUUAAUCUCACCCUGAAAAAUCACACAUCAUACCAAGAAUAGAUGACUAUGACUCAAUAUUGAAAUAACUAUUUAUUGUCUUAUCGCAAAGAUUGUUGGGGAAGCAAAUCUGCAAAGAAACUGAACUAUUUGAGUCCUGUAGGUGUCAAGUUCAGAGAAACUCUUGCCUCUAAGAAUCAUCACACAGCAAAUGGGAACUCCAACUUCAUCUCUCUCUGAAUUUCUGCUUCCCACCAAAAUACCAGGUUAAGAACAUCCCCACGGACAGAUUUCUUUGAGGGAUGAGUCCUGAGCCAACUUGAAAUGCCGUUCUGGGGGGGAGGGGGAGAACACAGUUUUCAGCCCACUUUUCAUAUUAUCUGUAUCUUGAUCUACAGACACAGGCAAUGAGAAUGACAAGAGAGCAGGAGGGGUCCAACUUUAGCAUUUGCUUUGUUGAACAUAAGCAGACUGGGUAGUAAUACAAGGUUGUUUCAAGAGCACUGAUGCCUGUCUAACUUUAAACCUCUUUUCAUCAGAAAGAGGGUCUUUAAACUUCUUAUGAUGCUUCCUAGAAUAAGCUGAGAUUUUAAAGAACAUUGAGCCAUUGUGCAUUAGGUUAAAAUUCCCUCACUAUCUGCUUUCUUCAGAAAAAUCUGAAAACAUUUGUCCUCAAAUAAGUAAAUAAAUCAAUUUGGAAAGAUGUGCAGACCAUUUCAUGAGACCCUAGGAGUGGAAAUCUGGGCAAUGUAAAUACGACUUCCCUACUUUCACAUUCUGGAGGUUCAGCUAGAGAGUCACUCUAUUUUCAGAUGGAACAAAGCUGGUGAUUUCAUUUUAAUUCAGGAUAAAAAUAUGUGGCUUAGUUCUCAUUUCCACUCCUCAAAGUGUUAUUAUACAAGAAACUGACUCUGGAUCUCAGAAGAGCCAAGUUUUGAGAAGCCAAAAUAACUUGUUAAUGUUUCCAUUAUGUAAUCUGUGUGUCUCAUGAACAAUAUUCUAUGUAGAAUGCUUUAUCGUGGAAGCAGGUAUUUCCUAGAGGAAAAGGAUUUAUAAAAUAUCAACAAGGCAUUCUGAGAUUCUGCAGCCUUGAGCACCAUAGAAACAUAACAGCAAAAAAGAAAAAAACAGUUGAUUCCUAGGUGCAAGCUAAAUAUUUGAAUGAGGUGCUUAUUCUAAUCAAAUAAAUGCCUUUUCUUUUACAGCCACCAAAUAAAUUCUCUUAGCCCCCAAAUACUAUGUUUGAAGUAGCAUAACAACUUUGGAAAACCACUCUAAGAAGUAAAAAUAUCUGCUAUUUUAAAAGACAGGCUCCAUUUUGUUUUUAAAAAAAUCAUUUUGCUGUAAUUUUAUUUUUUACUCUAUUUAGAUGAAAUUAUUUUUGAAUUGUUACAUUGUAGAAGGGGGGGCAGGAUACAGGCAGUUUACUGUAUUUAAACUAACACUCCACCCAACCUUCUUUCUCAGAUUAUACGGGCAGAAAGAUUAAUAACUAGUGUGGCCAUUUUCAGGACGAUGGGUUGCAUCCUGAGUUCUGACAAGCGUGUUUUCUUUGCCAGAGAGUGGAAUUACAUUGUGGUCUCCUCAGAGUUCAGUGACGAUCAUGGUUGCAGAGUUUUAAAUCUUCCUUUGACAUCUUUACAGAAUAAUUUUCAAAAGGGGUAAUUCUCUACUGAAAAUACCAGACCCUGACAAUAUUUAAUGCAAAGAGCAAUACCCUGUUAGGAAGCAAAUACAUCGGCUCACAGACUUGUUAAAACUUAAUAAAGAAAUAGCUCAUUUUUAAAGCCAGGAGUUUAUGGUCUCUGCAUCAUCGAUUUAAUUUAAGCAUUGCUGAGACAAUCUUUAAUCUCCCCAUUUUGUAAUACCUUAUUUAUGGUGCAUUCUCAUUUUUUAAUUUGGGGGGAACGUUAGCCUGCCAGAGCCACCAGAUGAAAGUGUUAAGAGGAGGUCAAACGGAAACAAAGGCCAUUACCCGCCAUAUUUCAGACAAGACUAGGGCACUUAGCCGAGGAGACACCCGGUUAUUAGAUUAAUUUCAAAAGACCUUUUACAAGUUGCUUAAUUCCCU